rnacentral:rRNA from 1 species
AGAGUUUGAUCCUGGCUCAGGACGAACGCUGGCGGCGCGCCUAACACAUGCAAGUCGAACGAGCGAGAGAGAGCUUGCUUUCUCGAGCGAGUGGCGAACGGGUGAGUAACGCGUGAGGAACCUGCCUCAAAGAGGGGGACAACAGUUGGAAACGACUGCUAAUACCGCAUAAGCCCACAGCUCGGCAUCGAGCAGAGGGAAAAGGAGCAAUCCGCUUUGAGAUGGCCUCGCGUCCGAUUAGCUAGUUGGUGAGGUAACGGCCCACCAAGGCGACGAUCGGUAGCCGGACUGAGAGGUUGAACGGCCACAUUGGGACUGAGACACGGCCCAGACUCCUACGGGAGGCAGCAGUGGGGAAUAUUGCACAAUGGGGGAAACCCUGAUGCAGCGACGCCGCGUGGAGGAAGAAGGUCUUCGGAUUGUAAACUCCUGUUGUUGAGGAAGAUAAUGACGGUACUCAACAAGGAAGUGACGGCUAACUACGUGCCAGCAGCCGCGGUAAAACGUAGGUCACAAGCGUUGUCCGGAAUUACUGGGUGUAAAGGGAGCGCAGGCGGGAAGACAAGUUGGAAGUGAAAUCCAUGGGCUCAACCCAUGAACUGCUUUCAAAACUGUUUUUCUUGAGUAGUGCAGAGGUAGGCGGAAUUCCCGGUGUAGCGGUGGAAUGCGUAGAUAUCGGGAGGAACACCAGUGGCGAAGGCGGCCUACUGGGCACCAACUGACGCUGAGGCUCGAAAGUGUGGGUAGCAAACAGGAUUAGAUACCCUGGUAGUCCACACCGUAAACGAUGAUUACUAGGUGUUGGAGGAUUGACCCCUUCAGUGCCGCAGUUAACACAAUAAGUAAUCCACCUGGGGAGUACGACCGCAAGGUUGAAACUCAAAGGAAUUGACGGGGGCC